CUCGAGGAGGCGCUACGACCCCCCUUCUUGGGCAUCGCAUCUCCGACCACUCCCCUCCCACACAUUUUCUCUCGGCCACCUUCCAACUCCCAUCCACAGAUGGAAUCUCCCUCAUUUGUCUGAUGGCGUGGAAGUCUGGAUAAAGCGUGAUGAUCUUUCAGGAAUGCAACUCGGAGGCAACAAGGUG